rnacentral:rRNA from 1 species
GUGUCAGCCGCCGCGGUAAUACGUAGGGGGCGAGCGUUGUCCGAAUUCACUGGGCGUAAAGCGCGCGUAGGCGGACGCUUAAGUUGUGGGUGAAAUCCCGAGGCUCAACCUCGGAGCUGCCUGCAAAACUGGGUGUCUGGAGGUAUGGAGAGGGAAGUGGAAUUCCAGGUGUAGCGGUGAAAUGCGUAGAUAUCUGGAGGAACACCCGUGGCGAAGGCGGCUUCCUGGCCAUAUCCUGACGCUGAGGUGCGAAAGCUAGGGGAGCGAACGGGAUUAGAUACCCGGGUAGUCC